CAUGCACCUGUGUGUUUCAGCUCUCCCCUGGUUUCUCUCACUCCUACAGGUUGUUUAUCCGUGUUGUCAGGUCAGUGGCACGGCCAGCGGGCAGCAGAGGGGAGACAGAGCUGGAGCUUGUGAGGCUUGCAGUAACAAAACUCAGAGCAGAGGGAUUGUGUUUGGAGAGUUUUUUUUUUUUUUUUUUCUCUUCCCCUCCAUCUUGAGAUGCAAUGAAUCCCAGGGAGCACGCUUGCCUUGUUGGAGCCGAGGACUGGCAACAGCCUGACUCUCAGGGAAUAAAAGGAGGCUGAAAGUGCUGUGGGAGCGGAUGGAGAACGUCGACCACGUCCCAGUGAUCAGAGUUUCUAAGGACUUCAAGCGCCCUGCAAGACAUGACCACAAAGCCCCAUACCCAG